rnacentral:rRNA from 1 species
UACGUAGGGGGCUAGCGUUGUCCGGAAUCACUGGGCGUAAAGCGCACGCAGGCGGUUUGUUAAGUCUGAUGUGAAAGCCCACGGCUUAACUGUGGAGGGUCAUUGGAAACUGGGAAACUUGAGUACAGAAGAGGAAUGUGGAACUCCAUGUGUAGCGGUGGAAUGCGUAGAUAUAUGGAAGAACACCAGUGGCGAAGGCGACAUUCUGGUCUGUUACUGACACUGAGGCUCGAAAGCGUGGGUAGCAAACAGG